rnacentral:rRNA from 1 species
GCUAAACGCGAAGAACCUUACCAAGGCUUGACAUAUAGAGGAAACGGCUGGAAACAGUCGCCCCGCAAGGUCUCUAUACAGGUGGUGCAUGGUUGUCGUCAGCUCGUGUCGUGAGAUGUUGGGUUAAGUCCCGCAACGAGCGCAACCCUCGUUCUAUGUUGCCAGCACGUAAUGGUGGGAACUCAUGGGAUACUGCCGGGGUCAACUCGGAGGAAGGUGGGGAUGACGUCAAAUCAUCAUGCCCCUUAUGUCUUGGGCUUCACGCAUGCUACAAUGGCCGGUACAAAGGGCUGCAAUACCGUAAGGUGGAGCGAAUCCCAAAAAGCCGGUCCCAGUUCGGAUUGAGGUCUGCAACUCGACCUCAUGAAGUCGGAGUCGCUAGUAAUCGCAGAUCAGCAACGCUGCGGUGAAUACGUUCCCGGGUCUUGUACACACCG